GCUGUGCAGUGGUAUGCACCUGUGGUCCAGCUACUUGGGAAGGAGGCUGAGGCAAGAGGACUGAGCCCAGAAGUUCUGGGCCGUAGUGCACUAUGCCAACUGGGUGUUUGCACUAAGUUCAGAAUCAAUAUGGUGACCUUCUGGGAGCAGGGAACUACCAGGUUGCCUAAGGAGGUGUGAACUGGCCCAGACUAGAAACUGAGCAGGUAAAAACUCCCACGCCAAUCAGUAGUGGGACUGUACACCAGUCUGGGAAACAUAGUGCAACCCCCAUCUCCU
rnacentral:SRP_RNA from 1 species